AUGGCUACAAGGGAUGGAUCCAAAUUCAACAUAUUUGCUGAAAAUCAAAUUGCUUGGCAACCCAAAAAAGCUAGGAAGGAUAUCAAAUGCUUUUGUUAUGAUAAGGUUAUUGAUUCCGACUUAACAAAUUAUAAGGACUUGGUUGAAUCAAUCGUAGAGCAGUACUCGCCUCGCUAUUUGGAAGUUGCACAUGUUCAGUACUACGAUCCUUUUCUUAAAAUCUACCCAGAAGUAACAUCUGACCAGGAAUUGGUGUCUAUGUUUGAGAAACUCUCUAAGACAAAGGUUGUGCACUUGUUUGUUGCAUAUUGUGAUCCAUCUGAACCAUAUGAGCCUAUCACAGAGUGGCAUAUUGAUGUGCAUAUCCAACCUAGCAACACAGAACAAGACGAUGAUGAUUAUCUUCGCAACCCAAUACCUGAGAAUGAACAUGUUGGUGUUGAUGAGGAAAAUAUUUAUUUAGACGAUGAUGAUUAUGAUAAAUUAGAUCCUCUUAUCAUGGUUCCCUGUUCCGUUAAAGAAAGGGACGAAGACUAUGUUCCUGAUCAUGAGAGCGAGGAUGAGAGCGUGGAUGAGAGCGAGGAUGAGAGCGAUGAGGAAGUAGAGGAAGAUGAGGAAGUGCACGAGGCAGAGCAUGCACCACAUUUAGAAUAUGAUAAAUUAGAUCCCCAAUGA
rnacentral:rRNA from 1 species